UACCCGAGUAGUCCUGGCCAUAAACGCUGUGAGCUAGGUGUUGCAUAUCCUACGCGGAUAUGCAGUGUCGAAGUGAAGAUGUUAAGCUCACCACCUGGGAAGUACGGUCGCAAGACUGAAACUUAAAGGAAUUGCGGGGAGCACCACAAGGGGUGCGGCGUGCGGUUAAUCUAUUCACACAGAGAUCUCACCAGAAGGACGGCAGGAUGAAAGUCAGAUAAUGGUCUUACUUGACGAGCCGAGAGGUAGUGCAUGGCCGUCGUCAGCUCGUGCUGUAAGGUGUCCUGUUAAGUCAGGCAACGAGCAAGAUCUGUACCUACAAUUGCUAACAGGUUCUUUAGAAUGACUGAGCACAUUGUAGGGACUGCCUGGGAAACCAGGAGGAAGGUGCAGGCAACGGUAGGUCUGUAUGCUCCGAAUCUUCUGGGCAACACGCGCGCAACAAUGGUAAGGACAAUGGGCUACGACUCCGAAAGGAGAAGUUAAUCCUCGAAACCUUAUCCAAGUCUAGAUUGAGGAUUGUAACUCAUCCUCAUGACACUGGAAUCC
rnacentral:rRNA from 1 species